UUUCAAAAGCAUUUGAGUUUGAAAUUUGCAGCAGGUAAGUGUUGCCUCCCCCUCCACCCUCCCACCCAUACAAUCUGAUGGAUGAGUUUUAAUGACACAUAAUAAUAGCAGAUAUGGGGCAUAGUGUGAUAUUUCUUUGCUUGUAUGCAUUGUGUAAUUAUUGUAUCAGGGUAAUUGUAAUUAGCAUAUCCAUCACCUCAAACAUACAUCAUGUCUUUGUGGUAACAAAAUUCAAAAUCCCCUUUUCUAGCUCUUUUGAAGUAUACGGUAUAUGAUUUUUGCCUAUAGUUAACUUGCUGUGCCACAGAGAAAUAGAACUUCCUUCUAUCUAACAGUAACUCAGACCCACUGACCAACUUUUCCCCAUCCACCUCUACCCCCUCAUUUUCCCUAGCCUCUGGUAAUCUGCUUCUAUGAGAUCAGCAUUUUUAGAUUUCACAGGAUACGAGUUUCCAGGUCACUGCUUUGCUGUAAGAAGAGGAUCAUGGGACAGAUUCACUUUGCAGGGUUGUGAAAGUUAAGUAGUGUGUCUGGCAUAUAGGGAUGCCCAAUGGUAAUUAUCACCUCUAGAAUUUCUUAAGCUCCUGAGUUCCUUCUCCACAACCCCCACUCACACCCCUAUAAGGACACUACUGUGGGGCUGGUUGACUCUCCCUGAAGAGCUGACUCAUUCACUUUAAUUAUCUUGUAAUCUCCAGGUACUUCUUUUUUUUUUUUUUUUUCU